rnacentral:lncRNA from 1 species
AUAAAGGAUGGUACAAACACAGUCUUUACUUUUCCAUUCUUUGUCAUGUAGGAUUUAUGUAUCUCAAUUGCUAGGAUUCAGAGAACUCAAGAAUUCACCUAUAUGUGUUCAUACAGGGCUAAUAUAGGGCUAAUCUUCCUCCUUUAGGAAACUAAAUAUGGUGGUGAGACUUCUAAAGAAAAGUGUGCUCUUUCUCCCUCCCCCUGAUUCCAGGGAGUUCUCAUUGUUUGGUGUAAGGUCUUGGUUGUUAUGGUGACUGUAGUGGGCUGAAUUUGAAGUGAAUUAGAGAAAAUAUUUCACAGAUGAAGAGAAGUCUUGGCCUAUGCAUCAUUCAGUGAGAAGUGUAAAGUUUCCAAAGACCUAAAAACUAUGGUCAAAUAAGUACAAAAUCUCCCAACAAAAAGAGAAGUAAAGAAUACCGAGGCGGUAUCUACCAUUGUGUUUACCUGAAAGAUCUACACUGAGCUAUCUCGAGGUUGCAGUGGUAGUGACGUGUGUGAGGUUGGCUGAGUUAUGGCUCAUGGAAUCUGUUUUGUGGAAUUCACUCUUCUCACAGGUGACACAUGGGCAUUUGACCCAGAUGGAAAACAAUGUAAAUUUAUUUCAAGGACAAUAUUAUCAGAUUGUGAUGGCCAUUGGGAAUCCAGUAUUAAGGGUUCCAGCCCAAAAUGCAUUCUCUGGAAGAAAUGAUGAUCUGACUACCAGUGGUUUUUUUGUUGUUGUUGUUUUGGUUUUUUUUUUUUUUUUGGUUUGGUUGGUUGGUAUAGACUCACAUGUGAUUCAUUUAUACCAUCCUCUAUAG